rnacentral:rRNA from 1 species
UUAAUUGAAGAGUUUGAUCAUGGCUCAGAUUGAACGCUGGCGGCAGGCCUAACACAUGCAAGUCGAGCGGUAACAGAAAGAAAGCUUGCUUUCUUUGCUGACGAGCGGCGGACGGG